UGAUGUUCACAUCUCGUAAUUAUGUCACUUCAUAACGUUCCAUGGUAACAGGGGGAAAUGGCUGCUCUUGUGUGAAGUAAACUCAACAUUUUUCAU